rnacentral:rRNA from 1 species
AGUGAACGCUGGCGGUAGGCCUAACACAUGCAAGUCGAACGGCAGCACAGUAAGAGCUUGCUCUUACGGGUGGCGAGUGGCGGACGGGUGAGGAAUAUAUCGGAAUCUACUUUUUCGUGGGGGUUAACGUAGGGAAACUUACGCUCAUACCGCAUACGACCUACGGGUGAAAGCAGGGGAUCUUCUGACCUUGCGCGAUUGAAUGAGCCGAUGUCGGAUUAGAUAGUUGGCGGGGUAAAGGCCCACCAAGGCGACGAUCCGUAGCUGGUCUGAGAGGAUGGUCAGCCACACUGGAACUGAGACACGGACCAGACUCCUAAGGGAGGCAGCAGUGGGGAAUAUUGGACAAUGGUCGCAAGCCUGAUCCAGCCAUACCGCGUGGGUGAAGAAGGCCUUCGGGUUGUAAAGCCGUUUUGUUGGGAAAGAAAAGCAGCAGGUUAAUACCCCGCUGUUCUGACGGUACUCAAAGAAUAAGCACCGGCUAACUUCGUG